rnacentral:sRNA from 17 species
GUCAUCUCCUGCCGGAGCGAUUCGGUGAAGGGCGAGGCUUGUUAGUUCAAGCCUGAUUGACCAGCCUGAGCUGCGAGAGGUAUCGCAGCUACGUUGUACGGAAGUUAAAGACUCAUCCUGGAAUGCUUCCUCAGUUCCAGGCUCUGAA